rnacentral:rRNA from 2 species
GCUGCCGGCCAAAGGGCUGUGGAACCACCCGUACCCAUUCCGAACACGGAAGUUAAACACAGCUCCGUCCUAGGUGGUAGUGAGGUCUUCGGCCUCGCGAAGCCUAGGAAGCUGGCAGCU